rnacentral:misc_RNA from 1 species
AAAAAAAAAAUGCAAAUCCAAACCUUUGUACACAUGAUCAAUUGUAGCCAAAAUUUUUAUCAACUCGAUCCUCAACCUUUGUUAUUGGUUUUAAUUUUACCAGUCAUUUUCAUAAUUUCUCUUAUAUAUCCAUGAAUAACUUUGUUUUUGUUUUCAAUUUUAAUCAUUUUCAUAACUCUUAUAUAGCCAUGACUUUUUUUGGAUUGUUACAAUAACCUACAUCUAAAAUUAAUAAAAUCUUUAGGCAGUGUAAGUUGAUUAAUUUUCCUUACCAUAUAGAAAUUUUUAGCGUUUAUAUAAUCCUUUAUUAACUUAUUACAAUUACUAUACUAUGAAAUAGUGCACAUUUCCUUAAAAGGUUGGGACUUUGCUCGUUAAUGGUUAUUUUUGCUAACUAUUAGUAGCAUUCUCCUUUUUUAGUUCAUUUUAUUUACUUUUUUUUUUAAGACAAAGAUCUUAUGAUUUUUUUUUUCUAGCUAUGAUGCAUUAAAUUACAAGCAUAAUUUUUUUGUAUUCAAAAUUUUUUUUUCCAAAAUACUCAUUUCUCAAAUCAAUUACCACUAAAAU